rnacentral:rRNA from 1 species
UACGGGGGGGGCAAGCGUUGUUCGGAAUUACUGGGCGUAAAGGGCUCGUAGGCGGCCAACUAAGUCAGACGUGAAAUCCCUCGGCUUAACCGGGGAACUGCGUCUGAUACUGGAUGGCUAGAGUUUGGGAGAGGGAUGCGGAAUUCCUGGUGUAGCGGUGGAAUGCGCAGAUAUCAGGAGGAACACCGGUGGCGAAGGCGGUUCUCUGGGCAUUACCUGACGCUGAGGAGCGAAAGCAUGGGGAGCGAACAGG